rnacentral:rRNA from 1 species
UACGUAGGGUGCGAGCGUUAAUCGGAAUUACUGGGCGUAAAGCGUGCGCAGGCGGUUCGUUGUGUCGGCGGUGAAAGCCCCGGGCUCAACCUGGGAAUGCCCGUUGAAACUGGCGAACUGGAGUGUGGCAGAGGGGGGUGGAAUUCCGCGUGUAGCAGUGAAAUGCGCAGAUAUCAGGAGGAACACCGGUGGCGAAGGCGGGUCUGUGGGCCGAUACUGACACUGAGGAGCGAAAGCGUGGGGAGCGAACAGG